CGUCAAAAUUUUCAAUGAUUUUGACCAGUCAAUGUUUCAUUUACGUCGAUUAAAUAGACGAUGACUAAUCCUUUAUGACGUCCAACCAAUUUCAUGAUACUUGGAACGCGAACGAAUUAAGGGAAUUAUUUGGCAUGUUGUUAAACUUCGGACUCUUCAACUUGAGAUAUAUAUAUCACUUUCACGAAAGGAAGGAUGUAACGUUUUUCAAAAGUAAUCAAAAACUAUGGGAUUGUUGGACAUCGCGACUCGACGCGGUGCGUCGUCUGAUUUUGAUAAAACGUAGGCACAUGCACCGAAAAAUGAUGCACUUUAAUUUGAUGGAAUAAGAGCGAGGACUACCUCAUAGUAUGAAGAAUCGGUAAGCACUAAAGAGAAUGAUCAAGAGAAGGUCGUAAGCAGGAAGAGAAUGUCGUCUGGCCGUCUGUGACGUCCUCCGUUGGUUUGUUGAUACGUACGUUCGAUGUUGGUAAAAUAAAAGAAAAAAAAGGAGAAAUCCGAGAGGUAACGAAAACAAGAUUCUUUCUUUUUUGUUUGUUUGCUUUUCUUUUUCUUUUUUCUUUGAACAGAUAAAACACAAGGACUGUGUCCUUUCGAUUCUUCGUUUGCCUUUUCGAAGAUCAGAUUUAAAGGUCACGACUUCGAUAGUCCUUAUUAAUAAUAUUGUUUUUCAAACAAA